GACAGAGGUGCCAAGCGUUAGGCGGAAUCACUGGGCUUAAAGCGUGUGUAGGCGGAUCGUUAAGUACCUUGUGAAAUCCCACGGCUCAACCGUGGAACUGCUCGGUAUACUGGCGGUCUUGAGCCACCUAGGGGCAACUGGAACAAGCGGUGGAGCAGUGAAAUGCGUAGAUAUCGCUUGGAACGCCAACGGUGAAAACAGGUUGCUGGGGGUGUGCUGACGCUGAGACACGAAAGCCAGGGGAGCGAACGGG
rnacentral:rRNA from 1 species